CUCAAUUGUAGAGAAAGAAGUGUGGUCCUGAUAUACGAGAAACGGUCUUCGGCUUAGCAGCCACCCGUUUCCCUAGCAGAGACUUCGUCAGCUUUCUUCAGUGUCUAUCUUGCCAGCGAUCGACUCGACAAAGCUAAAUUGUGUUGUACGGAAUCAAUUUCGGAACGUUUCCCGCCAGGAUCGAGACGAUAGGUGAAAUUUCUCAAAAAGAUCUCAAAGUGAGAGACAAGAAGUUUUAUUUAAUUCUCAAGAGUUGGACACUUUAUAAUACGGCACUCGUCCGAUAAUGUUUGUGGUCGACUUUUUAAGGUGGUAGCGUGCAUUGUGCACGUGUUUGUAGCACAAGCCUUUACGACACAAUAUGUCUUGCCAAUCAAAACUAUCACGUUUGUCGAAGAUGAAUCUGGCAGAUUCUCUUUCUGGCGACAGCCGUAUGGAACUUGAACUGUCAAUGGGCUACCUUCAACAAAUUGACGAGUCGUCGAUGGCUACCGAUCACAUCGUUGAACUAGUUGGCAUCCAUUAUACCGGACCGGUGCAGACGCCUUCGUGUGUUCAGAGCCUCACCGGAACAGGACUAACGGCACCCCUAAUCAAAGAUGUCUCCCUCGAAGUGCACGCCGGCGAAGUAAUGGCCGUCCUCGGCUCGAAAGGCAGUGGAAAAAAAGCGCUUUUGGAGGUGAUUGCCCGACGAGCCAUGGGCCCGACGAGGGGCCAGAUACUGCUCAACGAUAUACCAAUCACAGUUCGGCUUUUCCAGGAGCAGUGUGGUUACGUACCUCGUCGGGUUAACCUCGUGCCUGGCCUCACUGUACGACAAAGUCUUGACGUAGGCGCCCAGCUGACGGUCGGAUCGAAAGUGCCCGCAUCGGUAAAGAAGGCCCGGGUUAAACAGGUUAUGGCCGAUCUUGCAUUGAAUGGCGUCGCAGACCGUGAGGUGUCUACACUAUCCAUCAACGAGCAGAGAAGGCUUGCAAUAGGGCUUGAGCUGGUCAGAGAUCCGGUUCUGGUGAUUCUUGAUGAGCCAACAGCGGACCUGGACCCGUUAAACACCUACUUCGUAGUAUCAAUUUUAGCCAACCACGCUAAAAAGUACAACCGUAUCGUGCUGAUGUCGCUGUCAAAGCCGCGGUCUGACAUUUUCCCCUUUCUCGAUCGGGUAACUUAUUUGUGCCUCGGCGAACUGGUCUACACUGGAAGUACUCGACAUAUGCUCGACUAUUUCCGCAAUGUCGGAUUUCCCUGUCCAGAGAUGGAAAAUCCCCUUAUGUAUUACUUGUGUUUAUCGACUGUCGACCGGAGAACCCGCGAACGAUUCCUCGAGUCUUCUUCACAAAUUCAAAGCCUUGUAGAAAAGUUUCGUAUCGAGGGGGCACGGUACCGCAAAAUAGCCUCCGGGGCCAUAUCCGAUGCCACACCACCGCCACCGUCGGACUACAAGUUACCGUUAACGGCAUAUGGCCAGCCAUCUUCAGUGCAGGUAUUCGCAGCCUUGUACGGCCGUUUUAUGGCGUCAUCAUUUAACUUCAACUGGCGCGCCAUCCGUGACCUCGGAUUUCGAACUUUGGUGCUUCCUGCCUUUUUCGCGUUCAUGCUCUGCUUUUUCCAUCCGCUACGGGACUCACAGCAGAGCUUUUUCACUCGAAACGGUCUCAUUCUAAGCGCAAUUACAGCCACCAGCUUCCUCUCAGCUGCCAUCACCGCUAUCACCUAUGCUCCACAUCGCACUCGCUACUACCAGGAGAGUCGAGAGGGCAAAUAUCGAGGGCCGUUGUUCGUAUUCACGCACGCGCUGUUCUCCAUGCCAAUGUCGAUCUUUUCAGUAUUUGCAGCCGCUUCAAUCAUCUAUGGAGCGUCGGAGCUGCGUCCGCAAUGGGAACGGUGGGCACCUUUCUGCGCGAUUCUCUGGUGCUGCUACGCCUUUGCUGAGCAGCAGACUGUAGCGCUAAUGAUGGUCAUUCGCUCAUCAUAUACCGCCUGCGUUACUUCUAUCUAUUUCCUGGCCAUCUACAUCACUCUUGCGUCGGGAGGAGUCAACUUCGCAUCCACCUGAAACCGUGAUUCGCGCACCAUCUGUGAUUGCUCCGGUAAUUCCAACAGUAUCUCUCUCUGUUCCAGUACAUGCCGUUCCAGCAAUCCCCCCUGCCGGUGUAUCGACGGUGUACACCCCAAGCGUUUUAACCGUGAUGAGGCGUCCUGUCGUGACAGGUUUCCUGCACAGCCCACUUCCCCAUCACCCGCCGCCCCUUCCUCCUAUUCCACAUUCCCCUGUUGUCCCUAUCGUUCAUCAUCAUCAUACGUCAACCGGAGCCCCAACUCCGGUGCCCGUGUACGCCACCUUUAUUUCGCAUGGUCCUCCGAAUGUCAAACAGAGGACAGUUUUGCUUCAUCAUCAUCAUCAUCACCAUCGCCAUGUCGAAGCGAAGUCUUUGACAUUGAACGGUUUGCCGGUAGUCGUGGACCCAGUUGCAUAUAAUCGAAAGUUUCAAAACUCUGCAUCCGAGGACGAAAUUAUUAUCAAGGAAAGGGACCUGGCACAGUUACUACACAACAAGUAUACCCAGUUUAGCGAUCAUUCGUUUGAGCCUGCUAGAGGCCAAAGUUACGUCAGACAAGAUUACCACGAGAGAAAGAAGGCGAAAUUCUACUAUUCGGUUGGCGCGAGAGUUUACCGAAAUUCGCGAAAAUUACACUCACGACCACGUAAUCCAGAGGAUUCUGAAGAUGAGCUACAACGCCCAAACCCAAAUCAGAACAACUACGCGUUGAGGAGUCGUGGCGAACGGAUCGACCUUAGCUACGCCGUUAGGGCCGACCGCGCACUAAACGGACGAAAUGUCGUUGUUAUUAUUCCCAAGAAAUAAUGUCAUUGGCCGUAUCAACUUCACAAUGGACUUAUAUUGUAAAUUGACUGAGUAAUCUAUUGCUAACAACUGUUUUACGCGCUUGCUUAAUGCUGGCCGACUGAAAGUACAAUGUUUAAUGGCAACAUACCCUCAACUUAAGCCCUGGCACAGAUGCUGUGCAAGAUGUCCUUCGCUACCUAUACAACGAUGUAAAUAUUUCGCAAGUUAUUGAAAAAAUCGUCUUGAGCUUUAUGGCGUCGUUAGUCACUAGAAAAUUCUUAGCAAGCUUCCUUUCUGUCCAACUCCUUCUUCCUUUCUGUCUGCACUAGCAAGUAAACAGUGACGAGAAAACUUUUUGUGGUAUCGUCGAUUUUCAACCAGUUCGACCACGAACUAUUACAUCUUUAAUUUUUCUGAUUGUAUCCAUAUAUCCAUAUAGGAGAUCAGAAGUGACUCCUAAUGGACAUAUAUCCAUCCAUUAGAAGUAACUUCUGAUCUCGUGUUAUCCGAGUGAAAAAUAAAAUAAACCAUAUAG